GACGAACGCUGGCGGCGUGCUUAACACAUGCAAGUCGAACGGAAAGGCCCUGCUUUCGCGUGGUGCUCGAGUGGCGAACGGGUGAGUAACCCAUGAGUAUCCUGCCCUUGACUUUGGGAUAACUUCAGGCAACUGCGGCUAAUACCGGCUAGGUGCUCCUGCUGCAGGGUGGUGGUUGGAACGUUUCGGCGGAUGGGGAUGGACUCGCGGCUUAUGAGCUUGUUGGUGGGGGAGCGGCUUACCGAGGCUUUGACGGGUAGGCGGCAUGAGAGGGUGAACGGGGACAUGGGGACUAAGAGACGGCGCAGUGGGCUACGGGAGGCAGCGGUGGGGAGUAUUGCACAGUGGGCGGGAGUGUGAUGAGGAGACGCUGGGUUUGGGAUGAAGGCCUUCGGGUUGGAAACCGCUGUCGGUUGAGACGAAGCGGGAGUGACGUUAAUGGGUGAAGAAGCACCGGCUAACUACGUG
rnacentral:rRNA from 1 species